CUUGACUGUAGCCUGGAAUUGGGUUCGGGCUUUUCUUGCGCAGCCUAGGUGGGAGGCUAUGAAGAUUUCCUUCCGGGGAAGUUGGAGCCAACAGUGAGAGACCACUCUGGAAAGGCUAGAAUCCCCAUGGUGAUCCUUGAAUCAGGACACUUGACAGUUUCAGGCGGGCAGUUUCUCUGGGGCGGAGGCCUCAUAAAAGGUAACUGAGGCGCGCAAAGGUUCCCUCAGUCUGGACGGAAAUCAGACAUUGAGUGUAAAGGCAAAAGGGAGCUUGACUGCAAGACCUACAAGUCGAGCAGGAGCGAAAGCUGGCCUUAGUGAUCCGACGGUUCCGCGUGGAAGGGCCGUCGCUCAACGAAUAAAAGUUA
rnacentral:rRNA from 1 species